rnacentral:lncRNA from 10 species
GGAGGCGAGAAUAGAUAUUGGGAGGAAAUGUGGUCCUGCAGCCUCCACCAUUGGGUGAGAGGGAACCAGUAUUGGAGACGAGACUGGGAGAAGGACACAGCUUGCUGUUUCUUCUUGUGUAUUCUGUAAUGGAGGCUCCUGCCCACAACCCCCUCUCCCUCUGCCUCCUGCCGACCCGCUGCUUCUCUGCAUGGCCCUGCGUGGUGCACCCCACACUGUUCCUCAGGAUCUGUCUUGUCACGGCAAGGGCUUCCUGCUGUCACUGGCCCCAAGUGCUUCACCAUCACCAUUUCCCUGAGCCCUGACCGCUCUUUGUAAAGGGUCCUGAGUGAAAUGCUCCCUCAUUGUUCCACCGGUGUGAGUUUUGGUCUCCUGCCAGCCUUGAUAACAGGGAUGACAAUGGCAGGGCCGGGCUGGGCAAGGGGUGGGGGUGAUCCCCAACCAUUAACCUGAGAAGCUGCCUUUCAUCUUUAGAGAGUUUUCUGAUUGACACUUCAAUUAAACUAUUCCAGGACAAACCACCAAAAUGCUAAAUUAUAUGGAUCAGAUGGGAGAAAAUAGGCACACCCAUUCACCUUCUUAAGUUACUUUUUUCCUUUUUUUAGAGAGAUAAUUGGGACUAAGUGUUUCCCAAAAUGUGUUCGUUCUUCUACCACCUCCGCAAUUUUUGCCGUAUCUGCACACCACCUGUAUGAUUAUUUAUCUAAUAAUUUCCUUUCACUCAGCUUACUUUUUGAAACAGUCAGGUGUAUAUAAUUUACAUAAUUGGAGAUAUAAUUUACAUACAGUAGAAUUUACCCCUUUGAAGCGUGUCGUUCAGUGAGUUUUGACAAAUGCACACAGCCACGUGACCACCACCACCAAGACCUAGACCAGCGCACCACCCCCACGCUGCCCUGGUGUCCCUCAGUGGUCAGACCUGUCUGCCGCCCGAGGCCCCGGGCCACCCUGAUCUGAUUCCUGUUCCCGGGGUUUCCCACUGUUCUGCCUUUUCCAGAACUUCAUGUGAAUGGGGUCAUACAGUGUGUGGUUUUUGUGUCUCACUCCUUUCACUUAGCGUGAUGCUGCCACCCCAACCUUUUUCGUUUUUAUUUUUUUUUGAGGCGAAGUCUCGCUUUGUCACCCAGACUAGAGUGCAAUGGCAUGAUCUCGGUUCACUGCAACCUCUGCCUCCCAGGUUCAAGCAAUUCACCUGCCUCAGCCUCCCGAGUAGCUGGGAUUACAGGCAUAUGCCACCACACCUGUAAUUUUGUAUUUUUAGUAAAGACAGGGUUUCGCUAUGUUGGUCAGGCUGGUCUUGAACUCCUGACCUCAGGUGAUCUGCUUGCCUUGGCCUCCCAAAGUGCUGGGAUUACAGGCGUGAGCCACCUUGCCCAGCCCACCUUUUUUUUUUUUCUAAUCAAGCUAAAACCAAAACCAUAAUGUACUCAUUUUAUUGUCCAGCAUUCUUGUUUCUAUAUGCUGUGUUUGCAUGUAAUAAUUCAUCAAACCCAUAGCCUGGCUCUAGUUUUGAAAUGUUUCCAGGCAGUAGAAUUCUCCCUUCUUAGUUGUGACAAAUGCAUACAGUCACGUAUCCCCCACCGCAAGCAAGGUACAGACAGUGCCAUCACCCCAAAACCUCCUGGGCCUCUCUUUGCCAUCAAUCACUUCCCCCUCCCCAAACCUUCCCCCUGUAGGCACUGAGCUGACAUCCCUCCCAUAGGUUUACUUUUGCCAGAGUUUUGUGUGAGUGGAAUAGAUGUGGCAUUUCAAGUCUGGUGUCUGUCACUGAGCAUGUUUGAGAUUCUUCCAUAGUCCUGCAUGUAUUAAUAUUUGUUUCCUUUUCAUUUCUGAGUACUAUUUUAUUGUACAGAUGUGCCACUGUCCCUUAAUCCAUUCACCAGCCAAUGGACACUUGGGUUGUUUCUGGUGUGGGCCUGUUACAAAUAAAGCUGCUAUAAACAUUUGUACACAGGUCUUUGGCCAUAUGUGUUCAUUUCUCUCACCUCACACAGACUUGCAGGGUUGUAUGGGAAAUGUACGUAUAGCUUUAUAAGAGAUGGCCCAACUGUAUUCCAACCAGGCUGCACUCUUUCCCUUCCCGCCAGCAGGGUGCGAGAGUUCCAGCCGCUCUGUAUCCGUCAGCACUCAGCUGUGAGGUUUUGCAUUUUAG